rnacentral:rRNA from 1 species
GACGGAGGAUGCAAGUGUUAUCCGGAAUCACUGGGCGUAAAGCGUCUGUAGGUGGUUCGAAAAGUCCACUGUUAAAAAUUGAGGCUUAACUUCAAAGAUGCCGUGGAAACUUUCAAACUAGAGUAUGGUAGGGGUAGAGGGAAUUUCCAGUGGAGCGGUAAAAUGCGUAGAUAUUGGAAAGACCACCGAUGGCGAAGGCACUCUACUGGGCCAUUACUGACACUGAGAGACGAAAGCUAGGGGAGCAAAUGGG